AAACUUUCAACAACGGAUCUCUUGGUUCUGGCAUCGAUGAAGAACGCAGCGAAAUGCGAUAAGUAAUGUGAAUUGCAGAAUUCAGUGAAUCAUCGAAUCUUUGAACGCACAUUGCGCCCGUCCAGCAUUCUGGCGGGCAUGCCUGUUCGAGCGUCAUUU
rnacentral:rRNA from 1 species